rnacentral:lncRNA from 1 species
CUUCCUCUGUCUAUAAAGUGAUGGGAACCCUUCAUAGGCCACAACCCUGUAGAAAUCCUAACACAAAUUGUCCUCUCCAUCUAGUCCAAGUACAGCAUGAGCUGCUUCCAGCCCAGGCUCCCCAAUACCACAAGCAAACGCAGCACUUCCUCAGGAAAUGGCCCAGGAAGAUGUCCAUCCACCUCGAGCUAACGGAGCAUUGGUUGUGGGUCAAUCAGGCUGGUGUGUUAAGCCUCCUUCCUAGGAUACGUGGAGUGCUUAAGGACUUGGAAGAAAAAGGAACCUGAAGAGACAAAGACAGAGGCUGGCCCCUGCCCCUCACUUCCCACCUCCCUGCUUUCUGCUGCAAAAGGAAUCUAUGCGGAGUCCCGGGGGCCUGGCAAUAGAGCAAGUGUGUUCUGGAAGGGUAGACCAGCAGAAUGAUGAGUGGCAAGCCGAAUUAAGGGCAGGUCCUGCCAGUCCAGGGAAACAAAUGGGAAAAGUCAGACUGAAGGAAAAGAAGAGUGUUUCUGAAUGGCCCAAUGGACUGGAGCUGACAAACCACGGGAAGUGAUUUAAAAGUGCCUCCAGGUAAAACCAGAGAGAAACUUAACUACUAUCACCAGUUAGCAUAGAAUUUUGACCUUUCAUCUAAAUUAUUUGGAGCAAAUGUACAGGGGAAUUUAAUUUUAGAAAACGGGCAAAGAGAGUCAGAGCUAGACUUCCUCCUCCAACACACACAGCACAGGUGGAGAAGCCCGGGGGGAGCUGAAGUUCCCCAAAUGCUCGGUUGCCAUCACAACGGAAGAGAAUAUAACCUCUUUGUUACCAGGGCAGGCAAUUAUGUGAGUGUUCCUGGAAACCUAAGCCCUUUUGUGAGUUAGAGAUGAUGGAACAAUAACGAAAGAAAGACAAUCCUUUUAUCACCAGAAAAUAAGUGUUAGUUUUCAGACAACACUUCCGCAUCUCGAUGCCUGGGUGAUGUUUUUCAGUGACCAACACAGGACUUAGGAAAAGACGUCGUGUCAUGCUGUUCAAGGUCACUAAGAUCUGGCCUUGCCCCCAGGUGUCAGGGACUAGACUGGAGGAUGGCGUGAGUGUUUACCGCUAGCUACAUUCAAGAUCAGCACUCCAUUUCAUCAGGAAGACUCUCACCCUGGCUAACACGACCCAUUCUCAUUUCUCCCCUCUCCCUCUCCCCUCCCCCUUCUGCCUCUCUCCUCCCUCCCACUCCCCUCCCCCAACACAGUUUUUUCCCAGAUGCUCCAUGGUCCCCCAUGCAAACAGAUUAUUGGCAGGUACAACCCACCAUUCCUUAAGACUCAACUAAAUCCUGAGACUGGCCCUGAGCUAACAUCUGUGCCCAUCUUCCUCUACUUUAUACGUGGGACGCCUACCACAGCAUGGCUUGCCCAGCAGUACCACGUCUGCACCCAGGAUCCAAACUGGUGAACCCUGGGCCACCAAAGCCAAACGUGCACACUUAACCACUGUACCACCGGGCCAGCCCCCUGAAGACGAAUAAUUUUAAAAGGACAAAAUUGCACCUCUUGCACAAAUACAAAAU